UUUUCUCCCUCUCUCCCUUGUGUCCCGUUCUGCCAUUCCUACAUCCUUGGAGCCCAUCUUGCCCUUGGACAACCUCAUGCUCCAUCAGGCCAGGGCAUGGAGGUGCCUCAGGUGCACAGCCAGGUGCCAGACCCCCCACAGUGCACAAUGAACAGCCACAGAGACAGAGAGAGGAAGAAUACAUGCACCAGAACACAGCUGGCUCCAGGCAAGACGGGACUGAGUGUGCACAGGGCAAGCAGCUCUGCCCACCUGCUUGACUGGGCAGUAUGCAGGGUCAGAACACUCUCCAUUGCUGCUCCUGAUCCAGCACCCAGCUCCCACACCAGAAAAGGAAAGAAACUCCAAGGCUCUAGCUUGUCACCUGUUUAAUAGGCACAGCAAAAGGAAGUCUUUAAAUCCACUUCACUUAUCUAAAUGGAUUUGCAUUUGGCAUCCUUUCCAACAAGGGCAAUGAAAACAGAUUUUUAAUGUGAUAUGCUAUAAUUUUACUA